GAUGAACGCUGGCGGCGUGCUUAACACAUGCAAGUCGAACGAUGAAGCCCAGCUUGCUGGGUGGAUUAGUGGCGAACGGGUGAGUAACACGUGAGUAACCUGCCCUUAACUCUGGGAUAAGCCUGGGAAACUGGGUCUAAUACCGGAUAGGAGCGUCCACCGCAUGGUGGGUGUUGGAAAGAUUUAUCGGUUUUGGAUGGACUCACGGCCUAUCAGCUUGUUGGUGAGGUAAUGGCUCACCAAGGCGACGACGGGUAGCCGGCAUGAGAGGGUGACCGGCCACACUGGGCCUGAGACAGGGCCCAGACUCCUACGGGAGGCAGCAGUGGGGAAUAUUGUACAAUGGGCGCAAGCCUGAUGCAGCGACGCCGCGUGAGGGAUGACGGCCUUCGGGUUGUAAACCUCUUUCAGUAGGGAAGAAGCGAAAGUGACGGUACCUGCAGAAGAAGCACCGGCUAACUACGUG
rnacentral:rRNA from 1 species